rnacentral:rRNA from 1 species
UGGUGGAUGGCUCGGCUUGAGCGCCGAAGAAGGGCGCGGCCAGCCGCGAUAGGGCCCCGGGUAAGCGUAUGCAGCUUUAGAACCGGGGAUUCCCGAAUGGGACCUCCUACCAUAGGCUCCUUCGGGGGCCUAUGGUGCUCCCGGCAGGGAGCGGGAACCCCCCGAACGGAAGCAUCUUAGUAGGGGGAGGAAAAGAAACCAAAACGGGAUUCCCUUAGUAGGGGCGACCGAAAGGGGAACAGUCCAAACCGAACCUGCAGGGAAACCUGCUAGGGAUGUAGGGUUAUGGGCCUGGCUUCCUCCUCGCCGGCUAAGCUGAAGUGGCCUGGAAUGGCCCGCCAUAGAGGGUGAAAGCCCCGUAGGCGUAAGCCGGAAGGAGUUGAGCCGGUGUCCCAGAGUACUGUACCCUGGUUUGGGUGCAGGAAGUUGGGAGUCACCAACUUCCAAGACUAAAUACGUCUCAAGACCGAUAGCGAACUAGUACGGUGACGGAAAGCUGAAAAGCACCCCGGGAGGGGGGUGAAAAGGGCCUGAAACCAGACGGUUACAGACGUGUGCAGCCCGGAAGGGUAGAUCCCUCCUAAAGGAAACCGCCGCAAGGCGGGAGUACGAGGGAGGGGGACCAGGGUUGCACGUUCCGUCUAGAAACACGGGCCGGGGAGUUCACAGCUGUGGCAAGCCUAAGGGUUAAAAGCCCGGAGGCGUAGGGAAACCGACAUGCACGCAGCUAGGCUUAGCCUAGCGAGGUGCGGAGUCUGAAAGGGCUCGGAGUCACAGCUGUGAAGCUAGAAACCGGGCGAUCUAGCCCUGGGCAGGGCGAAGCCAGGCGAAAGCCUGGUGGAGGCCCGAAAGGGUGCUGACGUGCAAUUCGCUCCCCUGACCUGGGGUUAGGGGCUAAAGACCAAUCUAGCCCGGUGAUAGCUAGUUCCCUCCGAAGUGGGUCGCAGCCCAGCCCCGGGCGAGGCGGCCGAUGGGGUAGAGUACUGAUUGGGAAGCCAAGGGGUCGAAGAGGCCCCACUUCCCUUUCAAACUCCGAAUCCAUCGGCGCCGUAGACCCCGGGAGACGGGUUACGGGGGGUAAGCUCCUGGACCGAGAGGGGGACAACCCAGACUGAGGUUAAGGCCCCAAAGUGCUGGCUAAAUGUCAAACCAAAGGGCGUCGUCAGCCUUAGACAGCGGGGAGGUAGGCUUAGAAGCAGCCAUCCUUUAAAGAGUGCGUAACAGCUCACCCGCCGAGGCUGACGGCCCCGAAAAUGGACGGGGCUAAGCCAGCCGCCGAUACCUCAGGGCGCAGCUUUGCGCUGCGUCGGUAGGAGGGCGUCCUGGCUGGGUAGAAGCUGGGCCGUGAGGUCCAGUGGACCGGUCAGGAGUGCAGAUCCCGGCGGUAGUAACAGCAAAGAGGGGUGAAAAUCCCCUCCGCCGAAGGGGCCAGGGUUCCCCGGCAACGAUCGUCGGCCGGGGGUAAGCCGGUCCUAAGGCAUGGCCUAACCGACCAUGCCGAAAGGGAAGCCGGUUAAAAUUCCGGCGCCACGGAGGUACGAUUGCGGCAACGCAGGCCCAACAUCCGACGCUUUGGGGUAGGCUGAGCAAGGCUGUCGCCUUGUUUAACCGUAUAAUCCUGGGGAGUGCCGUAAUGGCGAGAACCAGGAGAAAGCGGGAAUAGCCGCCUGUUUAGGGCGAUUCAGCUGAUCCCUGGAGCCAAUGAAAAGGAUGUUGGGAAGGAUCCUCCGUGACCGUACCUAGAACCGACACAGGUGUCCCUAGGCGAGAAACCUAAGGCGUGUCGGGGGUAAGCCAGGGCGAGGGAACUCGGCAAAUUAGCCCCGUACCUUCGGUAGAAGGGGUGCCUGCUGUCUUGGCCUCAGGCCGGGAUGGCAGGUCGCAGUGGCAAGGGGGUCCUGACUGUUUAAUAAAAACAUAGGGAGCCGCAAGCCCGAAAGGGUGUGAACGGCUCCUGAAUCCUGGCCAGUACAGGUACCUGAAACCCGGGUUCAACCGGGCUAAGGGCCUGCAAACGCCGGGAGUAACUCUGACUCUCAAUAAAGGGAGUCACUAAACCCGGCUAUAUGCGGGGAAGGGGGAGCUGCUGGCUUCCCGAGUAGGGAAAAAAGCCAGCUGUAUGCCUCUGACCCGCAGGGAACACCCGCCUUCAAAACGGCUUAAAAGUAACAGCUGCCUAAACUAACACUGGUGAAUAAUGAUGCUUAACGAAUUCAAAGACAUAAUAGAUCCAAAGAUGCUGCCGAAUAGGAUGAAGUACCUUCACUAUUACAUACUAGGCCUUGUGGACGGUGAGGGAUGCUUCUCCGUAUCAAUCAAAAAGCAAGAUGACACAAAGUUCGGAUGGGUUAUUGAUCCCGUGUUCCAUGUGACACAAAACAAAGAACAUGCCGCGGUGCUUGAAAUCCUAAAAAGAGUUUUCAACUGCGGCCGAAUCAUACCAAAACCUGGACAAGAAGAGUCAACACUUCAAUAUGUCGUGGAUGCGCGGAGAAACCUUGCAGAAAAAAUAAUACCUUUCUUCAAGAAACAUAAACCCAUCAUAAAAAGGAGAGAAUUCCAGUACUUUGCCGAAAUAGUUGAGGGAUUAGAGAAGGGCGAACACAGAAAUCUAGAGGGAUUCAAGAAACUUCUAGAAAAAGCCUAUGAGGCUUCUUCUGAGAGGAAAUAUAAGCUCAGCGACAUCCUCUUAGAAGUGGAAAGGCGGGUGGACGCCUCAGAGACCAUACGCCGGGCGCCGUAGAGGGAUCUUGAAGAUGAACUUGAGGGCGAAGAUAUGGUCCAACCCUAGUUUGGGUUUGCUCAAGGUAGCCAAAUGCCUUGUCGGGUAAGUUCCGACGUGCAUGAAUGGAUCAACGAGGGCCCCGCUGUCCCCGCCUGGCACCCGGUGAACCCACGUAACGUGGACGAACAGUCCACGAACUCCCAGCGGGAAAAGAAGACCCCGUGGAGCUUUACUGCAGCCUGCCGCUGGAACAUGGCUGCGGAUGCAGAGCGUAGACGGGAGCCGUCGAUCCCAGCCUCUCCGGGGGCUGGGGGAGGCGCCAAUGGAACACCGUCCUUCUGCAACCGUGUUUCUAACCGGCGCUUCGGCGUCGGAACAACGGCAGGUGGGCAGUUUGGCUGGGGCGGCACGCCCUUGAAAAGAUAUCAAGGGCGCCCUAAGGUCGGCUCAGACGGGUCAGAAACCCGUCGUAGAGUGCAAGGGCAAAAGCCGGCCUGACUGGAUCCUUCACAGUGAGGGAUCCAGGGGCGAAAGCCGGGCCUAGCGAUCAUCCAUGUCCCCAUUGGUGGGGGCUGGAUGUGUCAGAAAAGUUACCCCGGGGAUAACAGGCUCGUCGCGGGCGAGAGUCCCCAUCGACCCCGCGGCUUGGUACCUCGAUGUCGGCUCUUCCCAUCCUGGCCCUGCAUAAGGGGCCAAGGGUGAGGCUGCUCGCCUAUUAAAGGGGAACGUGAGCUGGGUUUAGACCGUCGUGAGACAGGUCGGACUUUAUCUGCUGGGAGUGCUGGCUGCCUGAGGGGAAAGGGUCCCCAGUACGAGAGGAACGGGACGCUGCGGCCAAUAGUUUACCGGUUGUCCGACAGGGCAGACGCCGGGCAGCCACGCCGCCGGGGAUAAGGGCUGAAAGCAUCUAAGCCCGAAGCCCCUCCCGAAAAUAGGCAGCCAUUCCCACUAAUGG